UUAGUCGAGGGUGCUUCUUCUUCGGAAGAGGUAACCCGGCGGACGGCUCAGUAACACGUGGAUAACUUGCCCUUGGGUCUGGGAUAACCCCUGAGAAAUUGGGGACAAUACCGGAUAGGGCAUCGAUAGCUGGAAUGCGCGAUGUCCAAAAGCUGAGGCGCCCAAGGAUAGGUCUGCGGCCGAUUAGGUUGUUGUUGAUGUAAUGGAUCAACAAGCCUGCAAUCGGUACGGGUUGUGAGAGCAAGAGCCCGGAGAUGGGUUCUGAGAAAAGAACCCAGGUCCUACGGGACGCAUCAGGCGCGAAAACUUUACAAUGUGCGAAAGCACGAUAAGGGAACUCUGAGUGCCUCCUAUGGAGGCUGUUCAGGUGUCUAAAAAGCACUUGAAGUAAGGGCUGGGUAAGACCGGUGCCAGCCGCCGCGGUAACACCGGCAGCCCAAGUGGUAGCCACGAUUAUUGGGUCUAAAGCGUCCGUAGCCGGCCAGGUAAGUUCUUUGGGAAAUUUAACCGCUCAACGGUUAAGCUUUCAGGGAAUACUGCUUGGCUUGGGACCGGGAGAGGUCAGAGGUACUUCAAGGGUAGGGGUGAAAUCCGUUAAUCCUUGAGGGACCACCAGUAGCGAAGGCGUCUGACCAGACCGGGUCCGACGGUGAGGGACGAAGGCUAGGGUCGCGAACCGGAUUAGAUACCCGGGUAGUCCUAGCUGUAAACGAUGCGGGCCAGGUGUUGGCAUUACUGCGAGUGAUGCCAGUGCCGAAGGGAAGCCGUUAAGCCCGCCAUCUGGGGAGUACGGUCGCAAGGCUGAAACUUAAAGGAAUUGGCGGGGGAGCACCACGACGGGUGGAGCCUGCGGUUCAAUUGGAUCAACGCCGGA
rnacentral:rRNA from 1 species